rnacentral:tRNA from 1 species
GGGGCGGUUCCUGCGCCGUAAGGUGACGCUGCGGGUGACGCGGUUUUCGCCGAGUCCACAACCUGUGCCUGCUGCUGCCCUUGCGAUACCCCUGUACCGGCCUGUCGAGCCGGUGGUUGCGGGUUCGAGUCCCGUCCGCCUCG